rnacentral:lncRNA from 1 species
UUUUUUAUUUGCCUUAUUAGUCUUAGUGCUUAGAGAAACCUUUCUUUUUUAUUUUCCUUGUUAGUCCUAGUGCUUAGGUAAACUCCUUUCUUUUUCUUUACUUUCCUUGUUAGUCUUCGUUCUUAGGCAACCCCCUUUUUUUUAUCUUUGUUCAUACCUGUAACACGGUGGGAGAAUUGACUUUAGUCAAAUGUUGCGGAUAGCAAGAGUCGCCACCGACUUUUAUUUUAUCCAAAAGGAAAGGACAUAAAAGAACAGGAAAGACCUUAAAAAGAUUUUGAGUUCGGGGGAU